UGGCAAUCUGACAGUGCACGAGUACUCUGCAGGGUCCAAACAGCGGCAUGCUACCUGACAAUACAUGCUACCAGCCCCUAGCACCAAUGGAGGAGGACCGCCUACUCAUUUGGUGCCAGCAUCGUUUGCAUCAGAUAAAUCACAACAAAGAUAUGGUGACCCAAGACCCACGGUUAUAUAAGGAGGUGUAUGAAGAAACGACAGCAUAGAGGACCCAGCACAUCCCCUCACAGAUUCCAUGCCUUUCAAAAUAUUAGAACAAGAUUUCAAGGCAUUUUCCUUAAAGAACUUGCAACAUUUCAGGAGUGCGUCACCAUUUGGGUUUUCAUUUUGUACAAUACAUCACCUAACACCAAGAACGCUACAUUUUGUAAGCUAUGUUUCUUGCAUUGCCAGUAACCAAUAUUUAAAAGAAAAAAGAAUGUGUAUAUAUAAAUUGAUAUCUUAUUUGUCAUUAUUUACACUUUCAUUACUGUACAUUGAAAAAAAUUAGACAGUGUUUUCUUUUCACAAUAAAAUUGUAUUUACAUAUGUUCCAAUUACUUGUGUACACCAUUAUUUACACCAUUUGUUCAAUAUUCGAUUCGAUAUUGUGAUAAGAUUCCACUUCUUUGUUCCUAAUGGAUGAUGGUUAGAUUCUGAACUAAUGCUGUGUUACAUGUUCCAUUAUGUCUAUGAAUCUGUCAUUAGGGAGAGUCAGUCACAAAAAGC